rnacentral:rRNA from 1 species
GUUGAACGCUGGCGGCAGGCCUAACACAUGCAAGUCGAACGAGUGGCGGACGGGUGAGUAAUGUCUGGGAAACUGCCCGAUGGAGGGGGAUAACUACUGGAAACGGUAGCUAAUACCGCAUACCAUCGGAUGUGCCCAGGUGGGAGUAGCUAGUGGGUGGGGUAACGGCUCACCUAGGCGACGAUCCCUAGCUGGGCUGAGAGGAUGACCGGCCGCACUGGAACUGAGACACGGUCCAGACUCCUACGGGAGGCAGCAGUGGGGAAUAUUGCACAAUGGGCGCAAGCCUGAUGGAGCCAUGCCGCGUGUAUGAAGAAGGCCUUCGGGUCGUAAAGUACUUUAAGCGAGGAGGCGUUACCCGCAGAAGAAGCACCGGCUAACUCCGUGCCAGCAGCCGCGGUAAUUC